AGCGCUGCCAGACAGUCGCGGGGCUCCGGCUCUCCGCCGGGGGGCGCCUCGCCGCCUCCCCUCUGCCUUGCGGCUUCCCGGGAGUGGAAGCACCCAGACCCGCUGACUCAGGGUGAGGAAACUGAGGUACAGUGGUUUGCCCAAGGUCAUGGAGCUAGGAGGUGGCUGAAGCAGGGUUCAAAUCCAGAUGUGCAAGUGGAAGCUCCGAGGCAUUAAGUGACUGAGGCAGCAGGAGCGACCUUGGGACCUGGUGACUGAGUCUGUGACUCCCCCGCCCUGAGCAUUCUGCUGCUGAACCCCAAGUAGCAAGAUGCUCCUCCACCGAUGGAGCUGCCUUCUCAAGCAUGAUCACACUCCAUCUUCACAGUCCCGGGAGGCAGCCAUCUCCACGCCCACUGUACAGUUGAAGACCCUGAGGCUCAAGGGAAGGGAUGUGCACAGGGACAUGCACAAAACUGGAAACAUGUCAAAGCAAACCUUAUCUUGCAGUAUUGUGCAAUUUGAGUUGAAUAAGAGAUAAAAAUGUG